GAUGAACGCUAGCUACAGGCUUAACACAUGCAAGUCGAGGGGAAACGACAUCGAAAGCUUGCUUUUGAUGGGCGUCGACCGGCGCACGGGUGAGUAACGCGUAUCCAACCUGCCCACCACUUGGGGAUAACCUUGCGAAAGUAAGACUAAUACCCAAUGAUAUCUCUAGAAGACAUCUGAAAGAGAUUAAAGAUUUAUCGGUGAUGGAUGGGGAUGCGUCUGAUUAGCUUGUUGGCGGGGUAACGGCCCACCAAGGCUACGAUCAGUAGGGGUUCUGAGAGGAAGGUCCCCCACAUUGGAACUGAGACACGGUCCAAAAUCCUACGGGAGGCAGCAGUGAGGAAUAUUGGUCAAUGGACGAGAGUCUGAACCAGCCAAGUAGCGUGCAGGAUGACGGCCCUAUGGGUUGUAAACUGCUUUUAUAAGGGAAUAAAGUGAGUCUCGUGAGACUUUUUGUAUGUACCUUAUGAAUAAGGACCGGCUAAUUCCGUGCCAGCCGCCGCGGUAA
rnacentral:rRNA from 1 species